rnacentral:rRNA from 1 species
AUGCAAGUUGGUCUUGGUGGUAGGGAGGCAACAGUAUUGGUCAAUGAGAUUGAUGAUUUACCUCUCCGCUUCACCAAUGGGCUUGACGUUGACCAAGUUACUGGUCAAGUCUACUUCACCGACGGUUCUAUGAACUACGACAAGUCGCAACAUGAGAUGGUCACGAGAUCAGGGGAUGCAGCAGGGCGUCUCAUGAGGUACCAUCCACAUGCAUGUGAUGUCGCGAUGCUCCAAACACGUCUGGCGUAUGAAAAUGGCGUCACUAUCACCACCGACCGAAUGCAUCUCAUUGUCACGUUUAUGGGGCGUGCAAGCUGCUAA